UUGAACUGUUGUUUCAGAAAAUAAUGGAGGUUCAAUUUUGAUUGGAUCAGAGGAGGAAGAGGAGCUUCUGUUCCAGAAAUCAACCUUUUCAGAAGGAAACGUAACGUUUUUCAGAAUGUCUUGGGACUGAAGUUAGAACAUCAUCCCCUCAGCUUGGCCCCUGGAGCAGCGAUCAUCUUGGAUGUGGCUCAAGGCUUCUUCCUCUAAGAGUCCAAACAUGAAAGGAGUAUGUCACAGAAGUACGUCACUGAGACACGGCCCUCCACCUAAGGUGAACCAGUGACGAGAGAAGCAGUCAACGAACCUUUGGAGAUACAGGACCUUCAAAUCUUCUACAUCGUUGAACACCUAUGGCCAACAGAUAUCGCCAAGCAGACUCUAAUGGUGGGACCAGUUUGUUUUACCAUCCAGCUACAUGAAACAUCACCUGAGAUUUUUAUUUCGAAAGCUGCGCCAGGACCCAGAAAAAAGGUUGGACAUAAAUUUUGAUUCAGUCUCUGGCCCAGGGAUUGUUUUUGGUUCAUUU